CGGUUGUAUGGCUGGCUGCGCCUAGUGCCAAAAAGAUACUUAACUUCACUGUUUCCCCCGAAGAGUCGAGACGAUGGCUUGACAUCUCCAAUUACGCCAAAAUAAAUAAAGCAACCAAAAUGCUGAUCGCAAGGCUUCGAAACUUGACUGCAAUAUCUCCAUUUUCCUCUUCCUCUUCUUUAUUGAAACAUCGCUUCUUUUCUUCUACCUCUCCAUUCGCUUCUCCAUCACCAACCGAUGUCGUUUCAGAUACUGCGACUGAUGUUGCCGACGUUGCUGCGGAAGAGGAUCUGCCCUACACAGGUGCAUCUAUUUCUUCCACCGUCAAGGCGGCUACAAUGCCCUCUCUCCUUCAGCCACGUGUAGUCGUUUACGAUGGGGUCUGCCAUCUCUGCCAUCGAGGUGUGAAGUGGGUGAUUGAAGCAGACAAAUAUAGAAAGAUCAAGUUCUGUUGCCUCCAAUCUAAGACUGCUGAGCCGUACUUGAGAUUAUGCGGUCUUGAACGAGAGGAUGUUCUCCGUCGCUUUAUUUUCAUUGAAGGCCCUGAAUUAUACCACCAAGCAUCCACUGCUGCACUGAGAGUACUUUCAUAUUUGCCUCUGCCAUACUCUGCUUUAAGCGCACUCUUGAUAAUUCCAACUCCCCUCAGGGAUGCUGUUUAUGACUAUGUUGCCAAAGGACGCUAUGAUUGGUUUGGGAAAGCUGAUAAUUGCUUGGUUUUGAAAGAUAAAGACUUGCUUGAGCGAUUCAUAGACAGGGAUGAGAUGAUUGAUAGAAGUUGAUUACAUGCGUAAAUUGCAACUUGGCUAUGGAUGGUUGAGGAAUGGUAUAUGUGGACAAUAUCUACACAUAUUUGGUGUAAAUAUAGAGUUGGAAAUAGUGAAAUUACUUGCAGUGAUAGUAAUUUAACCUUGCCAUUUAUAUAUCUUUGCUAACAAGGUGUAGACAACAUCGACGCCAAACACUUCAAAAGAAGAUUAGAUUGGUAGAGCUUUUUGUUAUCAACUGGAAAUUAAAGCAACUAUGGUGAAAGUUGCAGAAGUAUUGAUGACGGUCGGUGAAUAUGAACAAUUGAACACUACUUAAAUUAUGCCCCAAUCACUUAAUGUUGUAAUUUCCAUUUGUUAGUGUUCACUCUCAGUAAAAAAAGAACAAAGAAAAAAAUAAAGUAAAAACCAAAG
rnacentral:misc_RNA from 1 species